CACCUAUCCCCAUUCAUGCCAGGAUAGCCAUGUUGAAGCUGAAUUGCAAUGCUAGCGUGCAAAACCUGGACUCCACUAUUCCCAUUCCAUCAUGGGUGCCACCCCCUCCAUCUUACCAAGCCCCCGCGAUCCCUCCAAGUUCAGUUAUUACAGAUCCCUACUCAGCUGGAAUGAAGCAUGCUUUUCAUUCUGGCAUCGAGGAUCAGUCUGGCUAUGAUGACUACCUUUAAAACCACCAUUCUCUUCAUCAUCUAGGACUCAGUAACUGUGGGAUGUGGUCUACAGAAGCACUUUCACAUGAAAUAUAUCUUUAGCAAUUUAUAGAAUUUUCUGCAGAACAACUAUAGAUUUUUAAAGAAUGAUUAAUGAUAAUAAAGACAAUAACAGUGACUCAUAACAGUUUGUAAAACAAGAUAUCAAUCCAUAUAAUGCAUAACCUCUUCUGCAAACUAAUUUCACUUAUUCCCGGUUCUCACAAACGAGUCAGUGUAUCUAUUGUUUUAGAAUUUGAAUAAAUUGA